GGCCCUCCGGGGACCUCCGAUAAAAUUGGAACGAUACAGAAAAAAUUAGCAUGCCCCCCGCACAAGGAUGACACGCAUAAAUCGAGAAAUUAUCGAAGUUAUG